GCCGUGUAAAGAAAUCGCUUUUGCGAGUGUAUGAGUGUGUGUAGGAGGGAGGUAACUCAGGGGGAGUCGGCAGUGUAAAUGUAGCUCUCCGCUGGGAUUCUGUACUGAAACCACAGGCGGUAGCGUCCUCGCAGUAAUGACUGCAGAGCCGCUGAACUUAACCACACAGAGAUGUACGCCCACAAACGCUCAGUUGUUCUUGCACCUAUACACAGACAGGUGACAAACUAAAGGAAAAAAAUACAACACAAAGAGUGUUAGUGGGAUGUUGGGCCACCACAAGCCACCAGAACAGUUUCAAUGGAACAACAAGCAUGCCAGCAACCCACCCGGCUUUCCUUUAAUCGGUCACAUGUCUGUAUAUACGGAUUCAAGGAACAUAAUAAAAAAUUCAGAAACGCGCCGUCAUGAACUUGGUGGACUUUGGGAAGAGCUUCUAAAUACUAAGGAGAUUGAAAAAGAGCCCUGUAAUGCUAAUGAAAAUCUUGGAAGAACUUUGGGACUGAAAAGACUGGAGAAGAGUCUCCUAAAUCUGGGGGGAAAGAAAACCCUCUCAAUACUAUGGAACUUGGGGAACAGCAUCACAGUCAAAGACGAGUUGAAACUCGGCUAUCAUCAAGACUGAUGAACUUGAGGAAGAUCCCAAUCGAGAACGAGGAAUUCAAAGAAGCGCAUCACGUGCCUCUCAAGAGGAAGACGAGGAAGAGCCGACCUAGCCUGACAACGCUGAGGAAGAGUCUUUUAAGACCGAGCACGUUGAGGAGCUUCUCAAGCCUGAGAAAGGUACGGAAGAAGUUCUCAAAAAUAAAGAAGCUGAGGACGAGGUUCUCAAAAACGAAGAAGCUGAGGACGAGGUUCUCGAAAACGAAGAAGCUGAGGACGAGGUUCUCGAAAACGAAGAAGCUGAGGACGAGGUUCUCGAAAACGAAGAAGCUGAGGACGAGGUUCUCGAAAACGAAGGAGCUGAGGACGAGGUUCUCGAAAACGAAGGAGCUGAGGACGAGGUUCUCGAAAACGAAGGAGCUGAGGACGAGGUUCUCGAAAACGAAGGAGCUGAGGACGAGGUUCUCGAAAACGAAGGAGCUGAGGACGAGGUUCUCGAAAACGAAGAAGCUGAGGACGAGGUUCUCGAAAAUGAAGGAGCUGAGGACGA
ensembl:lncRNA